rnacentral:rRNA from 1 species
AACGUAGGUGGCAAGCGUUAUCCGGAUUUACUGGGCGUAAAGGGUGUGCAGGCGGACCGUCAAGUGGUGUAUGAAAUCGCUCGGCUCAACCGGGCAACGGUAUGCCAGACUGACGGACUAGAGUCUGAAAGAGGGUGGUGGAAAUUCCGGGUGUAGUGGUGAAAUGCGUAGAGAUCCGGAGGAACCCCAGAGGCGAAGGCGGCCACCUGGUUCAGCCACUGACGCUCAGACACGACAGCAUGGGGAGCGAACGGG